UACAGAGACCUCAAGCGUUAUCCGGAAUCAUUGGGCGUAAAGCGUACCGAUAGGUGGUUAAGAUAGUCAGAUGUGAAAUCUCCGAGCUCAACUCGGAAUCUGUCAUUUGAAACUUCUUGACUAGAGGGGCAAAGAGGAAGCUGGAACGAACGGUGUAGUAGUAAAAUGCGUUGAUAUCGUUCGGAACACCAAUAGCGAAGGCAGGCUUCUGGGUGCCACCUGACACUGCUAGGACGAAAGCGUGGGGAGCGAAUGGG
rnacentral:rRNA from 1 species